rfam:Monodelphis domestica cont3.070335, whole genome shotgun sequence.
GGCUGGGUAGCUCAGUGGAUGAGAGCCAAGCCUAGAGGUGGGAGGUCCUAGGUUCGAAUCCAGCCUCAGCCA